rnacentral:SRP_RNA from 2 species
GGGCAAGUUCCGCACGGUCUGCUCCCUGUGAAUCCUGUCAGGGCCGGAAGGCAGCAGCAGUAAAUAGGUUGAAGCGACGCGAUACGGGUAGCUUGCCCCUC